rnacentral:rRNA from 1 species
GACGAACGCUGGCGGCGUGCUUAACACAUGCAAGUCGAACGGAAAGGCCCUGCUUUUGUGGGGUGCUCGAGUGGCGAACGGGUGAGUAACACGUGAGUAACCUGCCCUUGACUUUGGGAUAACUUCAGGAAACUGGGGCUAAUACCGGAUAGGAGCUCCUGCUGCAUGGUGGGGGUUGGAAAGUUUCGGCGGUUAGGGAUGGACUCGCGGCUUAUCAGCUUGUUGGUGGGGUAGUGGCUUACCAAGGCUUUGACGGGUAGCCGGCCUGAGAGGGUGACCGGCCAGAGUGGGACUGAGAUACGGCCCAGACUCCUACGGGCGGGAACAGUGGGGAAUAUUGCACAAUGGACGGAAGCCUGAUGCAGGAAUGCCGCGUGCGGGAUGACGGCCUUCGGGUUGUAAACCGCUUUCGCCUGUGACGAAGCGUGAGUGACGGUAAUGGGUAAAAAAGCACCGGCUAACUACGUG